UACGGAGGGUGCGAGCGUUGUCCGGAAUCACUGGGCGUAAAGGGCGCGUAGGCGGCUCAUGAAGGCUGUGGUGAAAGUCCGGGGCUCAACCUCGGAUCGGCCGUGGCGACUCGUGGGCUGGAGCACUGUAGAGGCGGGUGGAAUUCCGGGUGUAGCGGUGGAAUGCGCAGAUAUCAGGAGGAACACCGAUGGCGAAGGCAGAUCUCUGGGCCGUAACUGACGCUGAGGAGCGAAAGCAUGGGGAGCGAACAGG
rnacentral:rRNA from 1 species